GAUCUGCAAAGCUCCUCUCUACAGGAGGACGCUGUAUCUAUCAACAUGUGAACUGUGGUCUGAGAUUCGGGGAUACGUACCUGGCAGUGCGCACACCGCGAUCAUAGAUCUGAACUUGGAGGGAUGACCCGAAGCAGGACUUGUUUUGACUUGGAACCCCAAAGUGACCUGAGUCUGCACUCAUUUCAACUUGAAACCCCAAAGUUCAGGCUCGAAGAGGACCUGCCAGCGGUGACCCUGCCUGUCUGCCUACUCAGGAAGAAGAGCAUGAAGCACACAUCAACAGAGCAGAAAGCAGGCUG